rnacentral:tRNA from 13 species
UAGGACGAAAAUCCGUUGGUUUCACGGGACCGUGAGGGUUCGAAUCCCUCUAUCCCCAGC